rnacentral:rRNA from 1 species
GACGAACGCUGGCGGCGUGCUUAACACAUGCAAGUCGAGCGGUAAGGCCCUUUCGGGGGUACACGAGCGGCGAACGGGUGAGUAACACGUGGGUGACCUGCCCUCAGCUCUGGGAUAAGCCUGGGAAACCGGGUCUAAUACUGGAUAUGACUCCAUGACGCAUGUUGUGGGGUGGAAAGCCUUGUGCGGCUGAGGAUGGGCCCGCGGCCUAUCAGCUUGUUGGGGGGUGAUC